ACCUGUUGUAAACUGAAUUUUUAUAUUUGUGAUUCAUUUUUCAGGCCACUUUAUGUGAUUCCUCAGACUUGCUUGGUUGCUUGGAAGAGAACCAGUAGGCCUGGUCCACAGAGACAUGGAAAGACCUUGCCUUUGGUACCUUUAGUCAUUCCUCCUUGGCUGGUUUUAUUCUCACAGAUGAGUUUUGACUUAAAAGGCUCUUUUUUUCCCCUCAAGAGUGACAUUUUGGGGCUCUGUGUUCCUUUCACAUAGGUCAGUAUCCAAAUCAGGAAAGCUGAGUCUGAAAGACCUGCAAAGUGCUAUUUAACCAUUUCCUUAAUUGUAAAGUGGAGUACCUGCUUGGGUCAGGGUGGACAAAAUCAGCAACCCAGAGGCCAGACUUCCACUGCAUUAUGGAAUAUGCCUUCAGAUGGGCUUGGAGAAGACGACAGCACCAAAUGUUUGGAAAUGUGAAAUCCACCAAUUCCAUCUGGCUUUAAAGAUGGCAGGAGGACCAGUAUGACCAUUUGGAUGCCGCUGACAUGACGAAAGUGGAAAAAAGCACGAAUGAGGCCAUGGAGUGGAUGAAUAACAAGGUGAAUCUGCAGAAAAAGCAGAGCCUGACCGUGGAGCCAGUUGUCAAGGCAAGAGAUACAGAAGCUAAAAUUAAGGAGCUGACAAAUAUCUGUAGCCCUAUAAUUUCAAAGCCAAAACCCAAAGUGGAACCUCCAAAAGAGGAGUAAAAAAACGCAGAGCAGAAUGGACCCGUGGAUGGACAGGGAGACAGCCCGGGCCCUCGGGCUGCGGAGCAGGAUGCAGACGCAGCUGUGCCUUCAGAUCCAGACAAGAAGCUUCCUGAGAUGGACAUUGAUUGAUUCCAGCUAUUGUUUAUAUUAAAACAGACUAUUAUAAAGCU